CCUACGGGAGGCAGCAGUGAGGAAUAUUGCACAAUGGGCGCAAGCCUGAUGCAGCAACGCCGCGUGAAUGAAGAAGGUCUUCGGAUCGUAAAGUUCUUUUCUUAGGGAAGAAAAAUGACGGUACCUAAGGAAUAAGCACCGGCUAAAUACGUGCCAGCAGCCGCGGUAAU
rnacentral:rRNA from 1 species